CUUGCCCCUAGAAGGCUUGCUGGUGUGGCUGCUGUGUCACAUGUGAAUCAAUAGGUGGCAGAGAGGAGAGAGAAAGGCUAUGUCUAUGCUCAGUGUUCUGAUCUAUGAACAUCUGGAUGAUUAGCAGCCUAACAGU